ensembl:lncRNA
CUCUGUUCUUAGCAGAUUAUAGUCUGAGUUUCAUCAUGACGUCAGCUAGUAUAUUAGCAAAUGUUCUGGUCUGUACUUCUAGAGCAAGUAAACUUUGGGCUCUUCAUUUAAAAUGUGAGAAAUUUUGAGACAUGGUAAAAAGGGGUAUCUUAUUCAUAGGGGAAAGUAGCAAUGAACUACUGCCCUACAGAUGUUCACAUGUUCACUCUAUCUCCUAAAACACAGUUUGCACAAGGGAAUAAGAUAGAGUGCUAGCCUGGAGCAGAAGUCACUUCUCCAUACCAGUUCUGCAGGAUUCUACAUACCAGGUUCAGCUGAUCCUGCUGGAAUUCCUUGCUGAGCCAAAUUUUGGCUCCUACAGACCAUCUGUGCACUGCAAAGACCCUGGCUCCUUGCCUGUCUGCUACAUUGCCUCCCAAAGUACUCACAAACCAUGCGGCAGUCAUAAGAAUGGCUGAAUCAAAU